AAUCCUAUAGGAUCCUAUAGGAAUUCCUAUAGGAAACCCCAUUUCCUAUAGGAAUUCCUAUAGGAUCCUAUAGGAAUA